rnacentral:snRNA from 1 species
GUGCUCGCUUCAGCAGCACAUAUACUAACAUUGGAAUGAUACAGAGAAGAUUAACAUGGCCCCUGUGCAAAGAUGACACACAAAUUUGUGAAGCAUUCCAUAUUUUU